UUUUAGGGAUCAUGACAACUUAACAGUUAAUGAAAUAAAGGUUGUUGCAUGAAUGGAGGAAUUUUGUGCAAAUCUUCUAAAAAAGAAAAACAAAAGGCCUUUUAA